rnacentral:rRNA from 1 species
CACGUAGGGCGCGAGCGUUGGCCGGAAUUAUUGGGCGUAAAGAGCUCGUAGGCGGCCUGUUGCGGCCGGUGUGAAAGCCCGGGGCUUAACCCCGGGUCUGCAGUGGAUACGGGCAGGCUAGAGGUAGGUAGGGGAGAAUGGAAUUCCCGGUGUAGCGGUGAAAUGCGCAGAUAUCGGGAGGAACACCGGUGGCGAAGGCGGUUCUCUGGGCCUUACCUGACGCUGAGGAGCGAAAGCGUGGGGAGCGAACAGG